rnacentral:tRNA from 1 species
UCCGCAUUGGUCCAGUGGUUAGGAUCCCACGCUUUCACCGUGGUGGCCGGGGUUCGAUUCCCCGAUGCGGAG